GAGACUGUAGCUCAGAGGAUAGAGCCACGUAAAAGCCGUUGGUCGCCGGUUCGAAUCCGGCCAGUCUCU
rnacentral:tRNA from 1 species